rfam:Opisthocomus hoazin contig25611, whole genome shotgun sequence.
CCAAAGGCUCUUUUCAGAGCCACCCACGGCUUCAGGAAAAGGGCUG